rnacentral:lncRNA from 1 species
CCCCAACUGAUGCUGGAACACUUGACUCUGACAGACCGGCUCUCAUGACCACUAGCUGUCAGUCUAGUUCCAAAUCAUUGGCUAGACCCUCUCUGUCUGGCAGCAGCACACACAAUGGUGGAACUGUGGAUAUUCAAGUUUUAGGAGAGGUGGAAUCCAAGAUGGACAACAAAGAUCUGGAGAUGUCUAGUGUCUCUGUGCAUCCAUCAACUCCAUCAGCCAUGGACUCUGAUACACAUGCAUCAUUUGACUCCACUAGCAAUGACGACACCUCUUUGGUACUUUUACUGAUUGUUAGAUUGCUGUCAAUGAUCACCCCUUUCACAUUACUGGAAUCCUCUGACAUUGGUGAAACAUCAAGAGUUCUCACAAAGAGGAUUCUGUCUGAGUUCUGUGGCACCUCAGGCCUUGAACCAACUCAAGCCUACCCCCAGAAUCUGAAAAUCAAAAAGAUUUUCAAGGCUGUCUACAAGGGGCUUCUUCAAGAAUUUGGGUCAGAGAAGAUGCUCCAGGUUGCAAUGAAGUCAACGGAUUAUGCAUUUGACGAUGCCCUGGUCAAAUCAUUAACUAGGGAACUACUAGCUAAAUGCAAUGAGGCUAGCUCUUCACCUCCCUCCAUGACACAGUUGUCAUCACACAAUGUACUUGGCAGUGACGAGGUAGGUCAUUCUGGACUUACUUGUAGAAAGGAAAAGAAGAGAGGAAGAUUCAGCGCUCUCUGUGGACUCAACCCAAAGAGUACAAAGAAGGUCAACAAGAAGAACCACUGCACUCCAACACCUUCCCAGAACCAGACCCCUGCCGUCAGUGAAACAGGUAAGUCAAUACACUCAAAUGUGUACUGAACAAAAAUAUAAACGCAACAUGCAACAAUUUAAAAGAUUUUAUUGAGUUACAGUUCAUAUAUGGAAAUCAGUCAAUUGAAAUACGUUCAUUAGGCCCUUAUCUAUGGAUUUCACAUGGCUGGGAACACAGAUAUGCAUCUGUUCGUCACAGAUACCUUAAAAAAGGUAGGGGCGUGGAUCAGUAAACCAGUCAGUAUCUGGUGUGAUCACCAUUUUCCUCAUGCAGCGUGACACUUCUCCUUCGCAUAGAGUUGAUCAGGCUGUUGAUUGUGGCCUAUGGAAUGUUGUCCCACUCCU